rnacentral:rRNA from 1 species
GAUGAACGCUGGCGGCGUGCCUAAUACAUGUAAGUCGAGCGAACGGACGAGAAGCUUGCUUUUCUGAUGUUAGCGGCGGACGGGUGAGUAACACGUGGAUAACCUACCUAUAAGACUGGGAUAACUUCGGGAAACCGGAGCUAAUACCGGAUAAUAUUUUGAACCGCAUGGUUCAAAAGUGAAAGACGGUCUUGCUGUCACUUAUAGAUGGAUCCGCGCUGCAUUAGCUAGUUGGUAAGGUAACGGCUUACCAAGGCAACGAUGCAUAGCCGACCUGAGAAGGUGAUCGGCCACACUGGAACUGAGACACGGUCCAGACUCCUACGGGAGGCAGCAGUAGGGAAUCUUCCGCAAUGGGCGAAAGCCUGACGGAGCAACGCCGCGUGAGUGAUGAAGGUCUUCGGAUCGUAAAACUCUGUUAUUAGGGAAGAACAUAUGUGUAAGUAACUGUGCACAUCUUGACGGUACCUAAUCAGAAAGCCACGGCUAACUACGUG